rnacentral:rRNA from 1 species
CCUACGGGUGGCAGCAGUGGGGAAUAUUGCACAAUGGGGGGAACCCUGAUGCAGCAACGCCGCGUGGGUGAAGAAGUACUCCGGUAUGUAAAGCCCUGUCAGCAGGGAAGAAAAUGACGGUACCUGACCAAGAAGCCCCGGCUAACUACGUGCCAGCAGCCGCGGUAAUACGUAGGGGGCAAGCGUUAUCCGGAUUUACUGGGUGUAAAGGGGGCGUAGACGGCAAGGCAAGUCUGGAGUGAAAGCCCGGGGCCCAACCACGGGACUGCUUUGGAAACUGUGUGGCUGGAGUGCAGGAGGGGUAAGCGGAAUUCCUAGUGUAGCGGUGAAAUGCGUAGAUAUUAGGAGGAACACCAGUGGCGAAGGCGGCUUACUGGACUGUAACUGACGUUGAGGCUCGAAGGCGUGGGGAGCAAACAGGAUUAGAUACCCGUGUAGUC